CAGUAGCCACGGUAAUACGAGGGGGGCAAGCGUUGUUCGGAAUUAUUGGGCGUAAAGGGCGCGUAGGCGGUUUGGCAAGUUUCGUGUGAAAUCUUCGGGCUCAACUCGAAGUCUGCACGGAAAACUGCCGGGCUUGAGUAUGGGAGAGGUGAGUGGAAUUUCCGGUGUAGCGGUGAAAUGCGUAGAUAUCGGAAGGAACACCUGUGGCGAAAGCGGCUCACUGGACCAUAACUGACGCUGAGGCGCGAAAGCUAGGGGAGCAAACAGGAUUAGAUACCCGUGUAGUCCCUGUCUCUUAUAC
rnacentral:rRNA from 1 species